rnacentral:rRNA from 1 species
CCCAUCUCUCCCGAUCCCCUCGCUCCUUACCUCUUUCCUCCUUGCGCCGCCACUCACAGGGGGAAGCGCUCGCGCUCUUGCUUGAUCCCCCCUUCAUGCUCGCUCUGCCGUGCCGCCCCGCAGCUCCUCCCGCUGUCCUCGCGCCACCGCCUAGAUGUCCGCGCCCCACCGUGGCCGUUGCCUGCUGGCGCGCGCGUGUGCUCGCCUGAGCUGCACGUCCACCCCCUUGUCACCGGCGGCCCCCAGGUCGUUGGCCACCGAAGCAUGCCAGCGAACGCCAUCGACUCCUUCCGCGCGACGCCUGCGCCAGCCUCCACCGACCCUCCUGCCACGAUGGACUCCUCCACGCCUCGCCAGUGUUCCCCUGCAACGGGGACCCCGAGACUGCCGGCGACCCCCAGUUCCACUACGGUGUUGACGACCCUUCCUUCUUGCCAGAGCAACCAGAUGCUGGAGCCCAGGAGCCAGACGCCACCGUCGACGACGACUCCUACUUCCCCGGAGGUGCCUACUACUAUGUGCAGCCCGCUGACGACGACCAGGAGUAGUUAGGAGGAUCCCAGGCAGGAGGCCUGCGCCUCUUUCGAUCUGUAUCCCAGUUUGUGCUAGCCUUCUUAAGGCAAACUUGUUUAAAUUAUGUCUGUACUCAGAUAUUGUUGCUUCCGCUGACUCGUCUAUGAUCGAGCACUUGUAUUCGAGCCCUCGAGGCCCC